rnacentral:rRNA from 1 species
CCAGCUUGCUGGGUGGAUUAGUGGCGAACGGGUGAGUAACACGUGAGUAACCUGCCCCUGACUCUGGGAUAAGCGUUGGAAACGACGUCUAAUACUGGAUACGACUGCCGGCCGCAUGGUCUGGUGGUGGAAAGAUUUUUUGGUUGGGGAUGGACUCGCGGCCUAUCAGCUUGUUGGUGAGGUAAUGGCUCACCAAGGCGACGACGGGUAGCCGGCCUGAGAGGGUGACCGGCCACACUGGGACUGAGACACGGCCCAGACUCCUACGGGAGGCAGCAGUGGGGAAUAUUGCACAAUGGGCGAAAGCCUGAUGCAGCAACGCCGCGUGAGGGAUGACGGCCUUCGGGUUGUAAACCUCUUUUAGUAGGGAAGAAGCGAAAGUGACGGUACCUGCAGAAAAAGCACCGGCUAACUACGUGCCAGCAGCCGCGGUAAUACGUAGGGUGCAAGCGUUGUCCGGAAUUAUUGGGCGUAAAGAGCUCGUAGGCGGUUUGUCGCGUCUGCUGUGAAAUCCCGAGGCUCAACCUCGGGCUUGCAGUGGGUACGGGCAGACUAGAGUGCGGUAGGGGAGAUUGGAAUUCCUGGUGUAGCGGUGGAAUGCGCAGAUAUCAGGAGGAACACCGAUGGCGAAGGCAGAUCUCUGGGCCGUAACUGACGCUGAGGAGCGAAAGCGUGGGGAGCGAACAGGAUUAGAUACCCUGGUAGUCCACGCCGUAAACGUUGGGCGCUAGAUGUAGGGACCUUUCCACGGUUUCUGUGUCGUAGCUAACGCA